rnacentral:rRNA from 1 species
AACGAACGCUGGCGGCAUGCCUAACACAUGCAAGUCGAACGAGACCUUCGGGUCUAGUGGCGCACGGGUGCGUAACGCGUGGGAACCUGCCUUUAGGUUCGGAAUAACUCAGAGAAAUUUGAGCUAAUACCGGAUGAUGUCUUCGGACCAAAGAUUUAUCGCCUUUAGAUGGGCCCGCGUAAGAUUAGCUAGUUGGUGGGGUAAAGCCUACCAAGGCGACGAUCUUUAGCUGGUCUGAGAGGAUGAUCAGCCACACUGGGACUGAGACACGGCCCAGACUCCUAC